CCUGAGAAACCCAAAAGAUCGAAUGGGGAGAUUCAUCGUCAGCUCAUUUUGUAUAUGUAUGAGUUAUGAUGCGGGUUACUCUUGUAGUAUUGCUUGCACAUAUUUGUACAUUUAUUUGCAAGGUGUUGUCGGCGUGCACUUCUUCCCUAGUAGGACGUCGCGACCCGUUGGGUGUCGGUUUACGACCCGAGUGGGAGACUUUAAUGUUAAACAACAUUGGAGACCCUUGGUGUUUUCUGACCGACUGCCCGGCGGUACUCGUACGGUAUUUAGCCGCAUACUUAUAUGCGUCCAUAUCCGUCGCAAGCGAGGCUAGUUUCUGGUAGUACGGACCUAGUGCCGUCGCUGGAGCUGGCCAGCUGUUGGUUGUUACGGUGUUUUAGGACUGGCUAAAAAUUAUUACCGGUCG
rnacentral:rRNA from 1 species